UAGAGCUUUUAAAAACCCCCAGGAGCACUGAGUGAACAAGCAAGGUACCUACAAAGACCCUCUUGUGUCCAUUGAUCUACUCUCAGAGUGGCAGGGGAUUGUGGAACCUGAAUAUUGGAUCUUCUGAAAACAUCAGAGAAAAACUGUCCUUGCCAUCCACACUGCAACAAAACUUCACAAUCUUGAACUUUGGGUUUAUAAUCUCACAAAUGAGUAGGAUCCCUCCACACUCUUGGAACUGUACAUCCAUUAAGGUAAAGCUAAUCAAGGAAGUCUGUCCUCAGAUAAAGGCAUCCUUGAUGUGAACAGCUUUCUCAAGAUCACAGAUCAAGACUUGUCAGCUGUCAUGAAACCCUUAUCUUUAAAUAUUUUUCCUUGCUUAUGCCUCUAUGACAAUGGAAGUAAAGAAAAGGUCUGUUAUGUGUA